UCGGAAAUCUGUCCCUGUUGAAGAACUUCGACGUAGCGUACAACAGACUCGAAGGAGUGAUCCCCGAAGAGCUCGGAGGGAUGAAGGAACUUUCCAUCUUCCAUCUAGCCAGCAACAAACUCACAGGUAAGUUUCCUCGGUGGCUCGCGGAGCACGACAAUGUCUCGCUUAUCACCUUGAAUAGCAACUCCCUCACUGGAGAACUCCCUCCAGACUUUGGAAGCAGAACAGCACUCCGGAGCGUCGAUCUAUCCCAGAAUCAUUUCACUGGAAAACUUCCGCCAGCUCUUUGUCAGAAUGGAAGCUUGAAGUACCUUGCCGCACGAAACAAUCAGUUCUCGGGAGAUCUGCCAGUGCAACUCCAGCAGUGUCGGAACUUGGACAGGCUCCGUCUUGACGACAACUUCCUCACAGGCAGCGUCCACUUUUCCCAGUCGAAUGUCCACACCAUCACCCUCGCUCAUAAUCGUUUCAACGGGAGCCUCUCCAUGCGAGACAUGCCGAUGCUGAACCUCUUGGACCUGUCUUUCAAUUACCUCACAGGUGAGUUGCCGGCGGUGCUCGAAACUUCACAAAGCUUGGUCAAACUCAACUUGGCUAGCAAUCGCCUGUCUGGAACUCUUCCUCUACAGCUUGGACAGCUUCAAAAUCUUACGGAUCUCGAUCUCAGUAGCAACUUUUU
rnacentral:lncRNA from 1 species